CAUACGUAUCAUCUGAAGCGGCUCAGUAAUGUUGAUCAUAUCUUCGCUUCUGUGCGAUGCUCCUUUGACUUCCCUAUUGACAUACCUCAUAAUCUUCAUCCAUAAUGAAUUCUAGAUGAGGUAGUCCUCUCACCAAAUCUCUUAUUACUAAUAAAAAGAGCUCCUUGUUUUGACAUACAAGUUUGAGAGCUUCAAGUGCCAUAGCUAAUACUCAUCUGAUGAGGCUUCACUAUCAAAACAGCUCACUCCAUCUUCAGUUGAAGUUCCAUAUUAGCUACGAGCAAUAUUCACAUCCUUCUUGAUUUAAGAUAAAACACUAUUCCAUGAACUGACAUAAUGUCCUUUGUCAGAGAACCGUUUGAUACUAGGAAUUUGUGUGCUUUGACUCUUCCAAGAAAGAUAUGCUUCCAUGAUGACAUUCCAGGAAAACAGGCAUGUCCCGCAAGAGAAUCUUUGUUGUCAUCUUUCAAAGAUUAUUGACGGAACUGCUCACACGAUCACAUUUGCUAACAGGGUACUUUUUGUGAAUCAUAUGAUUUCAGUUACUCAGCAAACAGAGUGCACCAAAAAUCGUAUGAAACAUAUGUAACCUGCAAUCACAAAUGGAAAGAGUUCUAUGGUCCCCAAUCAUAACUGGGUCCGGAUGGAUUAGAGAUUUUUCUUUAACAGUGGUAAC
rnacentral:lncRNA from 1 species